rnacentral:rRNA from 1 species
UACCAGCCCCCCGAGUGGUCGGGACGUUUAUUGGGCCUAAAGCAUCCGUAGCCGGUUCUACAAGUCUUCCGUUAAAUCCAACUGCUUAACAGGUGGGCUGCGGAAGAUACUAUAGAGCUAGGAGGCGGGAGAGGCAAGCGGUACUCGAUGGGUAGGGGUAAAAUCCGUUGAUCCAUUGAAGACCACCAGUGGCGAAGGCGGCUUGCCAGAACGCGCUCGACGGUGAGGGAUGAAAGCUGGGGGAGCAAACCGG